AACGAACGCUGGCGGCAGGCUUAACACAUGCAAGUCGAGCGCCCCGCAAGGGGAGCGGCAGACGGGUGAGUAACGCGUGGGAAUCUACCCAUCUCUACGGAACAACCCCGGGAAACUGGAGCUAAUACCGUAUACGUCCUUCGGGAGAAAGAUUUAUCGGAGAUGGAUGAGCCCGCGUUGGAUUAGCUAGCUGGUGGGGUAAUGGCCUACCAAGGCGACGAUCCAUAGCUGGUCGGAGAGGAUGACCAGCCACACUGGGACUGAGACACGGCCCAGACUCCUACGGGAGGCAGCAGUGGGGAAUAUUGGACAAUGGGCGAAAGCCUGAUCCAGCCAUGCCGCGUGAGUGAUGAAGGCCCUAGGGUUGUAAAGCUCUUUCAACGGUGAAGAUAAUGACGGUAACCGUAGAAGAAGCCCCGGCUAACUUCGUGCCAGCCGCCGCCGUAAGAC
rnacentral:rRNA from 1 species